AUUGAACGCUGGCGGCAGGCCUAACACAUGCAAGUCGAACGAGUGGCGGACGGGUGAGUAAUGUCUGGGAACCUGCCCGAUGGAGGGGGAUAACUACUGGAAACGGUAGCUAAUACCGCAUACCAUCGGAUGUGCCCAGAUGGGAUUAGCUAGUAGGUGGGGUAACGGCUCACCUAGGCGACGAUCCCUAGCUGGCCUGAGAGGAUGACCAGCCAAACUGGAACUGAGACACGGUCCAGACGCCUACGGGAGGCAGCAGUGGGGAAUAUUGCACAAGGGGCGCAAGCCGGAUACAGCCAGGCCGCGUGUAUGAAGAAGGCCUUCGGGUUGUAAAGUACUUUCAGCGAGGAGGCGUUACUCGCAGAAGAAGCACCGGCUAACUCCGUGCCAGCAGCCGCGGUAAUUC
rnacentral:rRNA from 1 species